CACUCCUACGGGAGGCAGCAGUGGGGAAUUUUGGACAAUGGGCGAAAGCCUGAUCCAGCAAUGCCGCGUGAGUGAAGAAGGCCUUCGGGUUGUAAAGCUCUUUUGUCAGGGAAGAAACGGUGAAAGCUAAUAUCUUUUGCUAAUGACGGUACCUGAAGAAUAAGCACCGGCUAACUACGUGCCAGCAGCCGCGGUAAUACGUAGGGUGCAAGCGUUAAUCGGAAUUACUGGGCGUAAAGCGUGCGCAGGCGGUUUUGUAAGUCUGAUGUGAAAUCCCCGGGCUCAACCUGGGAAUUGCAUUGGAGACUGCAAGGCUAGAAUCUGGCAGAGGGGGGUAGAAUUCCACGUGUAGCAGUGAAAUGCGUAGAUAUGUGGAGGAACACCGAUGGCGAAGGCAGCCCCCUGGGUCAAGAUUGACGCUCAUGCACGAAAGCGUGGGGAGCAAACAGGAUUAGAUACCCUUGUAGUCCCAUG
rnacentral:rRNA from 1 species